rnacentral:rRNA from 1 species
CCUACGGGAGGCAGCAGUGAGAAAUAUUGGUCAAUGGCCGUAAGGCUGAACCAGCCAAGUCGCGUGAAGGAAGAAGGAUCUAUGGUUUGUAAACUUCUUUUAUAGGGGAAUAAAGGUAUCCACGUGUGGAUAUUUGCAUGUACCCUAUGAAUAAGCAUCGGCUAACUCCGUGCCAGCAGCCGCGGUAAUACGGAGGAUGCGAGCGUUAUCCGGAUUUAUUGGGUUUAAAGGGUGCGUAGGUUGUUUUUUAAGUCAGCGGUGAAAGUUUGUGGCUUAACCAUAAAAUUGCCGUUGAAACUGGAAGACUUGAGUGUGUUUGAGGUAGGCGGAAUGCGUGGUGUAGCGGUAAAAUGCAUAGAUAUCAAGCAGAAUUCUGAUUGCGAAGGCAGCUUACUAAGCCAUAACUGACACUGAAGCACGAAAGCGUGGGGAGCAAACAGGAUUAGAUACCCGGGUAGUC